rnacentral:lncRNA from 1 species
CCUGUUUGUUUGUGAUGUACUACUGAUAAUUGUUAGAAUCUAUGCUGUCUAGGAUCGAUUCCUAAGUCCCUAGAAUACAAAUCCGUAACUGAAAGUAAAACCUUGAUGACGUGUAGAUCUGAUCUACUGAUCUACUGAGAGGAACGGGGAAACAUACCUUGUUGUUGCUGUUGCUAUCUUCAUAUUGUUGCCCUGCAGAGAAGCAGCAGGCAUCGUGAUCCGAGCCACUGUCUGGUUGUCGCGUUUCCAAACACUUCGACGCCUAGGCGAUGGGGGCCUCUCGGACUAGGGUUUUUUUUUGGGGCGAGGUACUAGCGUUAAUCUUUCCUGCGACCCCUUAGUCCUAUAUAUAGCGUCGUGUGUCUGGGGGCUCCAACCGAGGUUAGCGUGGGCCCUCCCAAUCAAGGGCCCAUUUAAAGAGAUAGAUAGUUGGGUUUAGCCCAAUCCGGUCACUGAUGACCAGCUGUAGAGGACACACCCAACAAUCUCCCCUUUGUUCUCUACAUUCCUUAUUCUCAACUUUUCUGGAUUCCAUCCCUUGACAAGUUUACACAUAGACCAAGGUGUGACAAUGACCGAUUAAGUAUCAUCGCACUCAUUGACUACAACAUGCUCGCCUGCUUCAGAACGGGAAAAGACUUUAUUUGGUUGCAGUCUGUAGCCCCUGUGAUUCAAGAUCAUAGGUACUCCCUUAAACCCAUGCCGGCUGCGUGCUUACUAAACACGCUGGGUGGAAGACCUUUUGUGAGCGGAUCCGCUAGCAUCUGCUAUCUUCUGUUAUGCUCAUCUUUUAUGAUUUGAUCCUGAAUCUACUCCUUAACAACAUAAUACUAAAAGUCAAUGAACUUGGCAGCGCCACAUGACUUGCUGUUAUAGGAGUACAGUACCGCUGGCUCAUUAUCGCGGUAAUUUCUCAAUGGUCGCUCUAUGCUAUCAACCACUCUUAAUCCGGGUACAAAUUUCUUUAUCUUUAUUGCCUGCCCAUUUGCCUCAUGCAUGGUUACAAACUCAGUGUGCAUUGUCGACGAUGCUCUCGCUGUCUGUUUGCAACUUUUAUAAGAAAUAACUCCCCCAGAUAUAGUAAAUUUAUACCUCGAAAUAGGAACUAGAUCUUCUGUUUGUUAGCAUGAGGCCAUUUUCGUACCUUGGAGGUACAUUAGAGCCUUCUUAACUGUGUUCUAUGCCUGGGUUGAUCUGAUAUCUCCCAAGCAUCCCGGUAGUAAAUUCUAAGUCAGGGCGAAUAUAUAUUUGAGCAUACAAAACGCUUCUAAUAGUAGAAGCAUAUGGUACUGACUUUAUCUGAUCUUUCUGACACUGAAUCUGGGGACACUGAUGAUUCCCAAACUUAUCACCCUUGACUAUUGGCGCAGGCGUGGCCUUACACUGAUGCAUAAUGUACUUCUUUAGUACUUUUCUAUGUAUGACUUCUGUGAGAGUUCUAAUACUCCAUUAUGUCUAUUUCUGUGAAAUUCUAUUCUAGAACAUAAGAGGCUUCUCCUAUGUCUUUUAUAUCGAAGGUCGAGAAAAGAAAACUUUCUGUUUCCGCCAGUAGACAUUUAUCACUACUAGCUAAAAAAUAUGUCAUCGACAUACAAAAACAAGGAAGAUAUACUUUCCUUAGACUUCGCAUAAAUGCAAUUGUCUUCCUCGUUUUCCUCGAAACCAAAACUUUCUGAUAGUCUGAUCAGACUUGAUGUACAUCUGUCAGGAUGAAUGUUUUAAUCCAUAAAUGGACCUCCUUAAGUGACAUCCCUUGUUUUUUCUUUUACUGCUCAUGACAAAACCCUUUGGUUAUGCCAUGAACAUGUUUUCUGUUAACUCUCCAUUUAGUGAUGUUGUCAUUACAUCCAUCUGAUGGAACUCUAGAUCAAAUGAGCCACUAGUGCCAUAAUGAUCCGAAAUUAAUCUUUUGUUAGGACAAGUGAGAAGGUUUCAAGGUAGUCAAUGCAUUCUCACUGUGUGAACGCCUUGGCCACAUGUCCUUGUCUCUUUCUAUAUUCCCUUUGGAGUCACGCUUGAUCUUCUAGACCCACUAAUUUGCGAUUCUCGUAGCUGUUUCAUAUGUAGUGGGAUCACCUUCUGCAUCGAUGUCCUCACACAUAUAAAUCUCAUCGCUUUCUAUGUCUACACUUGUGUAAACUCCAUAAUCAUCAUGAAUCGCAGAUCGUAUAGACCUUUGAGACCUUCAUAAACUUGUUUCUAGUUCUGGUUUGUUCUGGGGCUCCUGCAUUGGUGCAUCACUUGGCGCAACACUACUACUGUCAUGUGAACUCUCCUGUGCAACCGACUCAGAAGAGCCAGAGUGUGCAGAAGGUGAAGUAACUUGCUCUGUAGUAGUUGCACUUGGUGAUACAAUAUUUGCAGCAGGGGUUUCACCUCGAGUCGUUACAACCGUUGGUGGAACCACAGCGGGUAUCGAGAAGUAUGGUUCUUCAACCAUCGGAAUCGGGACAUACGUCCUCUUUUCCUGAAGGUCAACCUCUCUGAGUACCUUACUCCCCUUGAUCAUGUCAUCUUCUAGGAAAAUGGCAUGUCUGGUUUCUAUAAACUUGAUUUGUCUACCUGGGCAGUAGAAUCUGUAACACUUCGAUCUCUCAGAAUAGCCAAUAAAAUGGUAGCUAGUGGUUCUCUCAUCUAGCUUUUCCUGCCCAGGAUUAAAUAUUCUAGCUUCUGUUGGACAACCCCAUAUGUGGAAGUAGUUGAGCGUGAGCUUUCUGCCAGUUCACAACUCAUAUGGAGUUUUAGCCACCGAUUUGCUAGGAACUUUGUUGAGUAUUUGCAUAGCGGUUUUUAAAGCCUCCAUCCAUAAACCCAAUGGUAAGUUAGAGUAACUAAGCAUACUCAUUACCAUGUCCAUCAGUGUUCUUCUUACGCCUUUAGGCAACCACAUUCUGUUGCGGUUCACCAGGUGUUGAAUACUGAGCUACAAUACUGUUUUCACUUAGGAACCUCGCGAAAGGAUCCUGGGACCUGUCCAUACUCAGUAUGGUGCCCACAGUACUCCCCCACACGAUUUGAUAUGACAAUCUUUGUGUUCAAAUCGUGUUGUUUUUCUACAUCAGCCUUGAACUAUUUAAACUUGUCUACAUCUUAUGAUCUGUCCCUUAAAAAAAAGGGUAAAUAUAAUUGUAGUGAGAGUAGUCAUCUGUGAAGGUUAUGAACAAGUCAAACCCAUCUACUGUCCUAACUGGAAAAGGACCACAUAUAUCUAUAUGAAUAAUUUCUAACACUCUCAUACUAUGCAUGCAAUCUAUGCAAUCCUCUAAGUCUGUGAAGUCUAGGUGAUGGAGAAUCUGUCCCUUAACGAGACUUCUUUUCUCCCCCUCGAAAUAUGGCCCAAACGAUAGUGCCAUAAUUUCGACGAGGUUUCUCCAUCACAUUGUUUUCUUACUCCUGCCAAUGUUGCCUGGUUUGUUUUCUUGUGUAUCUAGCACCACUGUGCGAAGAUAAAUAAAGCAUAUCUCGUCAGAUGGCGAGACCAACAUCUUUAUUAUCAAAACUGAAUAACACACAGUCUCUGUCACUGAAGUGAUAGUGGAUGUGCUGAUUGUCUAAUCACGAAACUGAAGUUAAGUGUCUGCUUGCUUUCCGUUAACCACUGCAACUGUUUUCAGCCCUCUGGAGCCUUUAGGUUUGUACGGAAUUGCAUUCUGUAGCAUCUAUUGCAGGAAUGCUGGACACUUUCUUUUGUAUGCCCUGUCUUCUUGCAAUAGAGGCAGGUCUCAGGGGGAUCAGAGAAUCUGUCUGAUUGUUGCAUGUAGAAAACAUCGUGAUCAUGUUUGAUCUUAUUCUUGAACCUUUCUUAGAGGUCUUGUUCUGUUUGAGGAUUCUUAGUUUGGAAAGAUUGAUAGAAUCACUUAUUUGACUUAUCAACCUUUCCUCCUUUUAGACACACAGUGUCGUGAGUUGAUCUAUAUAGCACUUGUCUAUUUAGACAGGUGUUUUACUGAUAAUCAAAUGUCUCAUAUUCUAGAAUAGCACCCUCAAUAGGAUCCUGGAUGAGACUCUUAUUGUGAUCAAGUACAUUACACUUGGGUCUUUUCUAAUUGACCUUAUGGAUGUUGCAUUGCGCCAUCUUAAGGUCAUCCUAAGGUGAGCCUACUGUAGGCUUACUGGGUUUCUCAAACCACAGUGAGGAAUCUAUUUCAUCCACUGUAGUUAUCAUUUCAAUCUUUUCACGCCAUAAGUGGCAAUAAAUACCACAUAGCGGUUUAAUCUGUCUUGUCUGACCAACUAGUAGCCAGAAUAUGCACUUUUGCAAAGUAAAACAGAAAAUAUUUAGGACGUCUGAAGUAAAUACUGAAACAUAAAACUUGCAUGAAUUAAAUAUUCGACGUUGGUCAAAUAAUAAUCAUGUCUGAUCUACAAAUUUUCUAGUUCUAAAAUUCUAAACCAUCGUUGGAUGAUCUAGAAAACUUAAUUCUUGUAUAAAAUGUGGCAACAAUAUUCGACGUUGGUCAAAAUAUUCAAUCACCACAAAAAAAUCUGAAUUUCUAUGCACUUAAAGAGAAUUAAUCCACGUAGGCUUCAUAAUAAACAAUAAUGCAUAGAAAAACAAAUAAUAAUCUGGUUCUAAAAUUCUAAAACCAUCGUUGGAUGAUCUAGAAUAUGUAUACUUCUGUUCCAAAUGUGGUAACAAUAUCUAACGUUGGUUAGAAUAUUCAAUUACCACAAAUUUUCUGAAUUCUAUGCAAUUUAAACAAAUAAAUUAAUCCACGUUGGUUUCAUAAUUAACUGAAAAAUUGCAUAAAAUACUGAAUAAAGUACCAAAGUACGCAGCGGAAUAAAAUAGUCCAUAAAUAUAUCUGUAAUUUUCUAUAACUGGAAAAAUAUUUCUAAGAAUUUUCUGAAUUUUCUGCACUGUUUCUAAUUUCUGGAAAUAGAAAAACAAAUUCCAGAAAAAAAAAAUUGGAGCCAUUUCGGCCUGGCCGACCACCCGGCUCGGCCUUGUUCGGCCCACCCCGGGUCUGGCCAUGUGGCCCAGCCGCGCGCUGGCGGCCCAUGAGAGGAGAGGGCGCGCGCCUGGACUGCAACCUGGGCCCAGGCCGUGAAGUUAGCCCAUGCGGGGCGCUACCCCCACCCCGCCGAAAUCCUGGCCGUGCAGCCGGAUCGACGGUCCAGAUUCUUGCGCGCAUGCUAUAAAAGGCGGAGAUCUCGGUGCCGGUGGAAAAAAAAAAACCCUAAAACAUUCUACUCCUGUAUCCCAGCCGCCACAAACAGCCAGCCGGCCGCCAGGAUUUCUCCUUGCGUUCCUGCAUGGCUGCAUGGCCACUAACAGACUGCCGGCCGCCAGGAGCUAUCCAUGCAUUUCUGCAUGGGCCUCAUGGCCGAGCUAUGCUCAAGUGCCGCCUCUGGUUUCCCUUUUUUUUUUUUUAAUUUUCUUCUCCCCAGCCGCUGCUCCACUCGGCCGCCAGGGAGCAUCACGCUUGUUUCUUUCUCUGAUUCUUUGUCUGAGCAGCCGCUAGAGCACAGAGCUACUGGCCGAACGUGCCCGAGUACGGCCGUUCCUGCGCGUUGCAUGCUCCUAUCUCUCUCUUUUUUUUUUCUUUCUUUCACUGUUUACUGAUUUUGGAGAUUACUAACGCACGGUUGGCUUCAAUGCACCGGAGAUGGCCGGCCUGAGCCGCCUCGCAUCCCCAUCCCGCCGACGUGCGCGUCCCUUCGGGUGGGCGCGCCGUCGUCGGAUGGGUGCUGCGCGGUGGUCGAGGCCCAGUCCGACGAGUUAAGAACUGCGGCACUGUUAGCCGUCGCCUGCGAACCUCUCUCUCCCCAGGAUCUAUCCUCAACUCGAUCCCUCAAGUGAUUUUGUAACGGGAUCGAGUUUUGGAGGUAAAGAAUCAUAGAUCUGGGUCCCGCGAUAUUUCUGUUAUUUUCUGUGAUGAUUUUAGUGCAUCUGUACACUUUUGAUUCACGUGGUUUUUGAAAAAAAUUAGGGUUCUAACCCUAGCUUCGUUCUGUACGACUUUUUUCUGAUCUGUUCUUGACCGUUUAUUAAAAAAAAUCACGAGUACCUGUUUACAGGUGUACCGAUUAGGGUUAGGUCAUAAAUCCUAACCCUAGACAGUUAUGUGACCUCUCUCUGGUUUGAGGCUGAGACACACUGUGUCUCUUACAGUGGUCAAACCUAAAUCUCUAGGGUUAGGGAAAACCCUAACCUGAGAGCAUCGACUUCUUUCUGUUCUAUUAUCUCUCUGAUCUCGGUGAUGAACAAUAAUAAAAAAAAAUAAGCUCAAUCACAUUAAUCGAGACCUUUCUGUGAUCUCAUAAAACUGAUGUGGAUUAGGAGUUCUAGGGUUCUUAGGAUGCCUCUGAUACCAUUGUUAGAAUCUAUGCUGUCUAGGAUCGAUUCCUAAGUCCCUAGAAUACAAAUCCGUAACUGAAAGUAAAACCUUGAUGACGUGUAGAUCUGAUCUACUGAUCUACUGAGAGGAACGGGGAAACAUACCUUGUUGUUGCUGUUGCUAUCUUCAUAUUGUUGCCCUGCAGAGAAGCAGCAGGCAUCGUGAUCCGAGCCACUGUCUGGUUGUCGCGUUUCCAAACACUUCGACGCCUAGGCGAUGGGGGCCUCUCGGACUAGGGUUUUUUUUUGGGGCGAGGUACUAGCGUUAAUCUUUCCUGCGACCCCUUAGUCCUAUAUAUAGCGUCGUGUGUCUGGGGGCUCCAACCGAGGUUAGCGUGGGCCCUCCCAAUCAAGGGCCCAUUUAAAGAGAUAGAUAGUUGGGUUUAGCCCAAUCCGGUCACUGAUGACCAGCUGUAGAGGACACACCCAACAAUAAUAAUAAAAAUGCGGCCUAGGCGCCGUGUACUAUGUAUGUAUCGCCGUCUCCUGGCUGACAUGGCACUACACUAUAAAAACGCAGCCCCGGCGCCUAAACCCGGCCUCCUUCCCAUCCCACCACCACCAGCUAGCCCAACAAGAGAAAGACUGAGAGAGAGAGAGAGAGAGAGCUCCACUGCACCCUGCAGCACCCUGACCUAAACUGGUCCCUCUCUGCUG